CCUACGGGAGGCAGCAGUGAGGAAUAUUGGUCAAUGGACGAGAGUCUGAACCAGCCAAGUAGCGUGAAGGAUGACUGCCCUAUGGGUUGUAAACUUCUUUUAUAAAGGAAUAAAACGAGGCACGUGUGCCUUUUUGCAUGUACUGUAUGAAUAAGGAUCGGCUAACUCCGUGCCAGCAGCCGCGGUAAUACGGAGGAUCCGAGCGUUAUCCGGAUUUAUUGGGGUUAAAGGGAGCGUAGAUGGGUUGUUACGUCAGUGGUGAAAGUUUGCGGCUCAACCGUAAAAUUGCAUUUGAUACUGGCAGUCUUGCGUCCAGUUGAUGUAGGCGGAAUUCGUGGUGUAGCGG
rnacentral:rRNA from 1 species